AGAACGAACGCUGGCGGCAUGCCUAACACAUGCAAGUCGAACGAGACCUUCGGGUCUAGUGGCGCACGGGUGCGUAACGCGUGGGAAUCUGCCCUUGGGUUCGGAAUAACAGUUGGAAACGACUGCUAAUACCGGAUGAUGACGUAGGUCCAAAGAUUUAUCGCCCAGGGAUGAGCCCGCGUAGGAUUAGCUAGUUGGUAAGGUAAAAGCUUACCAAGGCGACGAUCCAUAGCUGGUCUGAGAGGAUGAUCAGCCACACUGGGACUGAGACACGGCCCAGACUCCUACGGGAGGCGAGCAGUGGGGAAUA
rnacentral:rRNA from 1 species